GAUGAACGCUGGCGGCGUGCUUAACACAUGCAAGUCGAACGGAAAGGCCCUGCGCUUGUUGCGUGCACGAGUGGCGAACGGGUGAGUAUCACGCGAGUAUCCCGCCCUUGACUUUGGGAUAACUUCACGAAACUGGGGCUAAUACCGGAUAGGAGCUCCUGCUGCAUGGUGGGGGAUGGAAAGUUUCGGCUGUUGGGGCUGGACUCGCGGCUUAUCCGCUUGUUGGGGUGGUAGUUGCGUACCAGGGGUGUGACGGCUAGCCCGCCUGGGAGGGUGACCGGCGACAAUGGGCCUGCGAGAGGGCCCAGACUGCUACGGUAGGCAACAGUGGGAAAUCUUGCGCAAUGGGCGGAAGCCUGAUGCAGCAGCGUCGCGUGCGGGAUGCCGGGCUUCGGGUUGUGAACCACUUUCGCCUGAGCUGAGGCGUGAGUGACGGUACUGGGUAAAGAAGCAACGGCUAACUACGUG
rnacentral:rRNA from 1 species